rnacentral:rRNA from 1 species
GACGAACGCUGGCGGCGUGCUUAACACAUGCAAGUCGAACGAAAAGACGGAAAGAGCUUGCUCUUUUCAGAAUUGAGUGGCAAACGGGUGAGUAACACGUAAACAACCUGCCUUCAGGAUGGGGACAACAGACGGAAACGACUGCUAAUACCGAAUAAGUUCCAAGAGCCGCAUGGCCCAUGGAAGAAAAGGUGGCCUCUACCUGUAAGCUAUCGCCUGAAGAGGGGUUUGCGUCUGAUUAGCUGGUUGGAGGGGUAACGGUCCACCAAGGCGACGAUCAGUAGCCGGUCUGAGAGGAUGAACGGCCACACUGGAACUGAGACACGGUCCAGACUCCUACGGGAGGCAGCAGUGGGGAAUCUUCCGCAAUGGGCGAAAGCCUGACGGAGCAACGCCGCGUGAGUGAUGACGGCCUUCGGGUUGUAAAACUCUGUGAUCCGGGACGAAAAGGCAGAGUGCGAAGAACAAACUGCAUUGACGGUACCGGAAAAGCAAGCCACGGCUAACUACGCGCCAGCAGCCGCGGUAAUACGUAGGUGGCAAGCGUUGUCCGGAAUUAUUGGGCGUAAAGCGCGCGCAGGCGGCUUCCCAAGUCCCUCUUAAAAGUGCGGGGCUUAACCCCGUGAUGGGAAGGAAACUGGGAAGCUGGAGUAUCGGAGAGGAAAGUGGAAUUCCUAGUGUAGCGGUGAAAUGCGUAGAGAUUAGGAAGAACACCGGUGGCGAAGGCGACUUUCUGGACGAAAACUGACGCUGAGGCGCGAAAGCGUGGGGAGCAAACAGG